CCUGUAGAAAUGACACUUCAAAAACAGCCUAACUACAUUUUUAAGGCCCUUCUAAUAGCUAGUAUUGCCUGCUUCUAUGAACAUGUGAGGAUCAAUAUAAAACUCUCUGCUACAACUUGA